rnacentral:rRNA from 1 species
GACGAACGCUGGCGGCGUGCCUAAUACAUGCAAGUCGAACGCAGUGGGGACGGGUGAGUAACACCUGGGUAACCUCCCAUCAGAGGGGAUAACACUUGGCAACAGGUGCUAAACCGCUACUGAUGUAUGUAACCGCGUUGCAUUAGCAAGUUGGUGAGGUAACGGCCCACCAAGGCCACGAUGCAUAGCCGACCUGAGAGGUUGAUCGGCCACACGGGAACUGAGACACGGCCCAGACGCCUACGGGAGGCAGCAGUAGGGAAUCUUGGGCAAUGGACGAAAGUCUGACCGAGCAACGCCGCGUGAGUGAAGAAGGUUUUCGGAUCGUAAAACUCUGUUGUUAGAGAAGCGGUAUCUAACCAGAAAGCCACGGCUAACUACGUGCCAGCCGCCGCGGUAAUAC